rnacentral:misc_RNA from 1 species
UACGGAGGGAGCUAGCGUUGUUCGGAAUUACUGGGCGUAAAGCGCACGUAGGCGGCCUACCAAGUCAGGGGUGAAAUCCCGGGGCUCAACCCCGGAACUGCCUUUGAAACUGAUAGGCUAGAAUCUUAGAGAGGCGAGUGGAAUUCCGAGUAUAGAGGUGAAAUUCGUAGAUAUUCGGAAGAACACCAGUGGCGAAGGCGACUCGCUGGACAAGUAUUGACGCUAAGGUGCGAAAGCGUGGGGAGCGAACAGG